rnacentral:lncRNA from 1 species
GGGGCCGGUUCGUUCGCGGCAAACAACAGAUUAACGUGAGGUGUUGAGUAACAUAUUUCGAUAACACACCACGUAAGUCUUGUGACUCAUUUGCGGUUUUCACGGUUGCGUUACUUAAGAUAAUCAUGAGAACAAGAAAUAAUUGUGGGGUCGAACCCUUUCAUUACAGGAGAGGGACUUUGUGAUGUUUGAUUCGGUGUGUGUCGAAACGUUUUAGAGUAUAAACGAAUUAAGUCAGUGAUAUGCUAUGUUAGUUGGGUGAUGACUUAAUAUAGCACUUCUACAUGUGUUUCAUUCGUCAGGUCGCGCACUCCAUUAUCUGUAUGAAGAGAAGAAUGAGAGAGAGAGAAUUGCCCAAUGUGGCCAAGUGGGAGAUUUUUGUCAUGUGGUAUGUCCACAUUUGCGGAUCUUAAUUUAACCCGAUCCACAUAAGAUAUGGAUUGUAAUUUAUUCUAAU